GUUUCCGAGGCGAUGCCCGCCUUGGUGGUGUCCAGCACAAGAUGCGGCAUUUGCUUCUUCUCAAUGCUGGCCACAUACUUGUUGCAGACUGACAAUAUUUUGGCAUCCGUUUUGUUAGCCUCGAUGGACUCGAUUUGCACCGAUAAGCCGUAGCUGGGAUUCUUCUUCAGAUAGGCAACCCAAAGCUGACCGCACCGCACGAACCACCAUCGGGAACUGACACUCGCCGCGGCGUGGUGCUGCUUUGUGUAGACAUGUGUGUAUCCUUGGUGAUAAUCAAUUGUCUGCCUGCCCUCACCUGACCGCCUAAUCUAUUGUUCGUGGCGCUAAUUGGGUCAGGCUUUGGAUGAUUGUCACAAUGCUUCCUCCGAGCGCCAAAUAUGAGUCCGUGACUUUCGCUUUUAUCAUGAUAAGAUCUAUUUCAUUUCGUGAUAAAUUAGUAUCAUGAAUUUGCGAACAUGUCAUAUAUUAUUUAAGUUAACAAUGUUUUGUCUUAAAUGAACUUUGAACUUCAAAAGCUUCAUAAUAAUUAUUGAUAGAAAUUAGGAAAUUUAAAAUAUUUGUUAGCUUUCAAUAACUUAUAUGAAUAAGGACUUUCGAACUUUGUGCAGCUUUAUAAUCAAAUUGUUAGCAAACUAUUUUUAAGUAGAGACAACAAGAAAGCUCUUAAAUUAUUAAAUUUAAGAUAAAUCAAGUCCCAACUCAAAAUGUGGAAAACAACUGCUUAAACCUUCGAUAAUUUGUUUGUCCCUUGUAAAGGUUUCAGACUUUUAGAAAAUUGUGAUAUUUUAAGUUGAGACUCUAUAAUAUCAGAUAAAGGCAUUUACUUUAUAACUAGUUAUAAUUAUUUUCUUUAAUGUUUAUUUUAGCUAAUGAAAAAUAAACCAAUUAAUCAUUUUGUUCAUCGUACAUAAAGAAAAGCUAAUAAAAAUAAA